CCUACGUGAGGCAGCAGUGAGGAAUAUUCGUCAAUGGACGCAAGUCUUAACCAGCCAUGCCGCGUGCAGGAAGACGGCUCUAUGAGUUGUAAACUGCUUUUGUACGAGGGUAAACGCAGAUACGCGUAUCUGUCUGAAAGUAACGUACGAAUAAGGAUCGGCUAACUCCGUGCCAGCAGCCGCGGUAAUACGGAGGAUUCAAGCGUUAUCCGGGUUUAUUGGGUUUAAAGGGUGCGUAGGCGGUCGGAUAAGUUAGAGGUGAAAUCCCGAGGCUCAAAUUCGGAAUUGCCUCUGAUACUGUUCGGCUAGAGAGUAGUAGCGGUAGGCGGAAUGUAUGGUGUAGCGGUGAAAUGCUUAGAGAUCAUACAGAACACCGAUUGCGAAGGCAGCUUACCAGGCUACUUCUGACGUUGAGGCACGAAAGCGUGGGGAGCAAACAGGAUUAGAUACCCGGGUAGUC
rnacentral:rRNA from 1 species